rnacentral:siRNA from 1 species
GAGAAGCAGGGCACGUGCA